GAUGAACGCUGGCGGCGUGCCUAAUACAUGCAAGUAGAACGCUGAAGCUUGGUGCUUGCACCGAGCGGAUGAGUUGCGAACGGGUGAGUAACGCGUAGGUAACCUGCCUCUUAGCGGGGGAUAACUAUUGGAAACGAUAGCUAAUACCGCAUAAAAGUCUAUAUCGCAUGAUAUUGAUUUGAAAGGUGCAAAUGCUUCACUAAGAGAUGGACCUGCGUUGUAUUAGCUAGUUGGUGAGGUAACGGCUCACCAAGGCGACGAUACAUAGCCGACCUGAGAGGGUGAUCGGCCAAACUGGGACUGAGACACGGCCCAGACUCCUACGGGAGGCAGCAGUAGGGAAUCGUCGGCAAUGGGGGCAACGCUGACCGAGCAACGCCGCGUAAGUGAAGAAGGUUUUCGGAUCGUAAAGCUCUGUUGUAAGAGAAGAACGAGUGUGAGAGUGGAAAGUUCACACUGUGACGGUAACUUAACAGAAAGGGACGGCUAACUACGUG
rnacentral:rRNA from 1 species